rnacentral:rRNA from 1 species
CAGUAGCCGCGGGAAUACAGAGGGUGCGAGCGUUAAUCGGAUUUACUGGGCGUAAAGCGUGCGUAGGUGGUGGUUUAAGUCCGUUGUGAAAGCCCUGGGCUCAACCUGGGAAUUGCAGUGGAUACUGGGUCACUAGAGUGUGGUAGAGGAUAGUGGAAUUUCCGGUGUAGCAGUGAAAUGCGUAGAGAUCGGAAGGAACAUCUGUGGCGAAGGCGACUAUCUGGGCCAACACUGACACUGAGGCACGAAAGCGUGGGGAGCAAACAGGAUUAGAUACCCGCGUAGUCCCUGUCUCUUAUAA